rnacentral:rRNA from 1 species
UAGGGAAUCUUCGGCAAUGGGGGGAACCCUGACCGAGCAACGCCGCGUGAGUGAAGAAGGUUUUCGGAUCGUAAAGCUCUGUUGUUAAGGAAGAACGAGUGUGAGAAUGGAAAGUUCAUGCUGUGACGGUACUUAACCAGAAAGGGACGGCUAACUACGUGCCAGCAGCCGCGGUAAUACGUAGGUGACAAGCGUUGUCCGGAAUUAUUGGGCGUAAAGCGCGCGCAGGUGGUUUAGAAAGUCUGAUGUGAAAGCCCACGGCUCAACCGUGGAGGGUCAUUGGAAACUAAUAAACUUGAGUGCAGGAGAGAAAAGUGGAAUUCCUAGUGUAGCGGUGAAAUGCGUAGAGAUUAGGAGGAACACCGGUGGCGAAAGCGGCUUUUUGGCCUGCAACUGACACUGAGGCGCGAAAGCGUGGGGAGCAAACAGG